rnacentral:lncRNA from 1 species
AAAAAACACAAUAAUAUUAAUGUGUAUACUUUCAUUAUGUCAUCCUUCCUUCGAAACUAUGGAAGCUAUUUACAACGUGUUGGUAUGACAGGGGUUUCCCAGGGGUGUCCCAGGGGUUGACAGGGGUUUUCCAGGUGUUUUCCAGGGGUUGGGGUUUUCCUCUCCUUGCUGCUAUAAAAUACCUUCACAUAUUGUACACAUUCAUUCUUUCUUGUCUUCUUGGUAGAACGCUAAGCUACAGUGACCAGUAGUCUUCCAGACCUCAGGAUUCUAUUCUUCAGCUUUUUAGAAUGAGAUGCGUUUUUGUUCCAAACUGAUGAUUUCAACUGAUGCUCUCCUGAUGCAUGGCAGACGGCGGUGCCUGUGUCUCUGAGAACACCAUGUGAAUCCCCGUGCCUGAGAACACCAUGUGAAUCUCUGUGCCUGAGAACGCAUGUGAAUCCCAGGAACAUCCUCCAACACACCAUUCAUCAGAGAAGCCCUAUCUGUGACAACAUGUUUGUGCUAAACAAGAGCAAGGGUACCACACUCAGAUACACAUAACAGCAGCGCCAUCUAUUGGCUUGACGACAUCUCAGUGGUGAGUUUAAGGAAGACCAAUACCACCAAGAACACUCUGCCUGAAUCUAGACUCUGAAAUGGGCAAGAAGAUACAGACUGAGUGGGUCCAGAAGAACUGACCCAAACAUGAUAUGUAAACCAUGUUUUAUAGUUCCUCUUCUUCUUCUUCUUCUGAGAAACUGUGUGACCUAUCUGGCCUGGGGCAAGUUAAGGUGCUCUAUGGGCUCUAAAUUAAAAUGUUUCAUUGGUAGGACUGGUGCUUCCAACUUAAAAAAGUGAGGAGGACAAAAUAAAAUCUAGGAGAACGAGAAAAUAUUAUUUUUCUUUCAAUUCGAUUGAGAUACAGCCUAUAAUGGGGCUAUGGGAUGGGGCUAUAGGAUGGGGCUAUAGGAUGGGGCUAUAGGAUGGGGCUGUAGGAUGGGGCUAUGGGAUGGGGCUAUAUGUUGUGCCCUAGGGACUAAUAGGUACCCAUGUACAUACAUUCGUUUUUUUUAAAUAAAAAGCUAAAAUGUUGAUACAAAUACAUGUCAUUGACAUUUCAAAGUCAUUUGUGGAAUGUUAGAUUUCUACAUAGUUAGGGCUCUAAAAAAUCUGUUUCCUUUUUUGCCUAAUUCAGUUUUUUUUGUUUUUUUGUUGCCAAAUUCUGUUUUCUCAGUUUUGUUUUUACAGGUUUCUCAUUAUUCUCAUUUUUUGGGGGGGGGGGUCUAAGUUCACAACAAUAAUUAAACCACAUCAAGAGACAACUUUUGAGGUCUGGGGAAAAUCUAAAGAUAAAAAAUGUUUUUGUGUAGUUUCAUUCAAGUGUGCACCAUGGACAUAUAGCAAUAGAAUGUUUGGUUACCUGUGUUUCUGGAGCCCACGUGUGUAGAUAUUGCUAAACAUAUGCCCAAUGGAUUGAUGCAAAUAAUCAUGAUAUAUGUCUUCCAGGUAGGCAUAGGCGACAUUGUAGUUAACAUUUAAUUGAGAAGGUUUUUGGAAAAGUCUUUCCAUCUACCAAAAGGCAGUUGUCAUUAGUAUCGUCGCUCACAUCUACGCAAAGUAGACCUGCACAGCACACACACAAAGACAGGAGCAUUUCUACGUCCUGUGCAUUCAUCUUCAGAAAGUUACUUUGUAGUUAACGUUCUUGUUCACUUGUGACUUAAUGAAGCUGAGGGGGACAUGCCAGCUAAGCAGGCAGGUCAACAAUGCCAUAUGGGGGUCAGCUGACAGCCGGACAGAUUGGUCCACUCAAAAGGAUGAGCUGUGGGGCUGAGGUGACAGUGACGGGAAUCUGUGUGACAUAAUAACUGAACUGGCUGUGUUAAUUUGCCCUGUGGAUGAAGGCUAACCAGCUCUACGGACAUGGUUGGAGGAGUGUGACCUGGUGAAGACGAGGGGGACACGCCAACUAAGAAAACAGGUCAACACUGCCUUGGGGCCAGUGGACAGCUUGACAGAUUGGUCCACUCAAAGUGUGUGAGCGACGGGUCUGAGAUGACUGAAAUGAGCAUAGUGCUGGAUGUCACACUCAUUGUUACCUGGCAGUCAGGAUGCCGGCCCAGUGGAGGAAUGGGGCCACUUCUUCUUCUUCUUCUUCUUCUUCUUCUUCUAAGAGACUGUGUGACAUAAUAACUGGCUUGGGGCAUCUUAAGGUGCCCUCUGGGUGAAGGCUGAACAGCUCUAUGGACAUGUUUGGAGGUGUACGGCCUGGUGAAGCUAAGGGCGACAUGCCAGCUAAGAAUACAGGUCAACAUAGCUACGCGGGCCAUUUGGUAGACCUAUUGGUAAGCCGCUUGGUAGUCCAUUUGGUAGGCCGCUUGGUAUGUCGUUUGGAAAGCUGUUUGGUCGGCCUUUGGUAGACUGUUUGGUAAACUGCUUGGUAGCCCACUUAGUAGGCCCUUUGGUAAGCCGUUUGGUAGGUCUUUGGUAGUUUGUUUGAUAGGUCGUUUGGUAGUCUGUUUGGUAGGCCUUUGGUAGACUUUUUGGUAGACAUUUGGUAGGCUGUUUGGGAGGCCGUUUCAAAGCCCGCUUGGUAGUGCGUUUGGUAGGCUUUGGGUAGGCUGAUUGGUAGGCUUUUGGUAGACAGUUUAGUAGGCCUUUGUUAGGCCGUUUGGUAGAGGAGGAAUGAUGCCACCUCUUCUUCUUCUUGUUCUUCUUCUGUUUCUUCUUCUUUUAUAUUUCAGUGGAGGAAUGGGGCCACAUCUUCUGAACAGCUCUAUGGAAAUGUUUGGAGGUGUGUGGCAUGGUAAAACUAAGGAGGACAUGCCAGCUAAGAAUACAGGUCAACACAGCUAUGCGGGCCAGUGCACAGCCAUCGGAUAGGCCGGCGUAACUGCUGAAUAGAUCGCUUUGGUAGGCCUUUUAUAGACCGUUUGGUAGGGCGUUUGGUAAGCUCUUUGGUAAGCCCUUUGGUAAGGCGAUUGGUAGACCAUUUGGUUGGUCUUUUGGUAGGCCUUUUGGUAGGAUGUUGGGUGGGUCGUUUGGAAGGCUGUUUGGUAGGCCAUAUCAUAGGCCGCUUGGCAGUAAGUUUGGUAGGCCAUUUGGAAGACUCUUUGGUAAGCCAUUUAAUAGGCCGCUUGGUAGUAUGUUUGGUAGGCCUUUGGUAGACUGUUUGGUAAGCCUUUGGUAGACUGUUUGGUAGGCUUUGGUAGACAGUUUGGUUGGCCUUUGGUAGGCCGAUUAGUAGAGGGGGAAUGAUGCCACAACCUUCUUCAUCUUCUUAUGUUUCUUCUUCUUCACCUUCUUUUUCUUCUUCUUUGUCUUCUUCUGUUUAUUCUUCUUUUAUUAUUUUUCUUCUUCUUCUUCUUCUUGCCAGCCAAGUGGAGAAUUGGGGCCACUGCUCCUUCUUCGUCUUCUUCUUCUUCUGUUUCUUCUUCUUAAAUAAUUUUUCGUCUUCUUAAUCUUCUUUUUCUACCAAACGGAAGACCAUUUGAUAGGCCUUUUGGUAGGCCUUUGGUAGGACGUUUGGAAUGCUGAUUGGUAGUAUUUGAUAGACAUUUUGGAAGGCCUUUGGUAGUCCGUUUAGUAGAGGGGGAAUGAUACCACCCCUUCUUCUUCUUCUUAUGUUUCUUCUUCUUUUCUUCUUCGUCUUCUUCUGUUUAUUUUUCUUCUUCUUCUUCCUCUUCUUCUUCUUCUUGCCAGCCAAGUAUAAUUGUUCUUAUUAUUCUUCUUAUUUUUCUUAUUAUUAUUAUUUUUCUUCAACCAAAUGGAAGGCCAUAUUCUUGUUCUUCGUUUUCUUCUUGUUCUUCUUGUUCUUCUUCUUCUGUUCCUUCUUCUUUUAUAAUUUUCUUCUUCUCCUUCUACCAAACGUAAUGCCAUUUUGUAGGUUGUUCAUAGGCCUCUUGGUAGUACGUUUGGUAGACAUUUGGUUGGCUGAUUGGUAGGGUUUUGGUAGACAGUUUGGUAGGCCGAUAAGUAGAGGGGGAAUGAUGCCACGCCUUCAUCUUCUUCUGUUUCUUCUUCUUCUUCGUCUUCUGUUUAUUCUUCUUCUUCUAUCAUUUUUUCUUAUUUUUCUUCUUAUUCUUAUUCUUCUUCCUCUUCUUCUUGCCAGCCAAGUAUAGUAGUGAAGCCACAGUUCCUUCUUCUUCUUCUUCUUCUUUGUCUUCUUUGUCUUCUUCUGUUUAUUCUUCUUUUAUAAUUGUUGUUAUUAUUCUUCUUCUUAUUAUUAUUAUUUCUCUUCAACCAAAUGGAAGGCCGUGUUCUUCUUCUUUUUAUUCUUCUUCUUCUUAUUAUUCUUGUUCCUCUUCUUCUGUUCCUUCUUCUUUUAUAAUUUUCUUGUUCUCCUUCUUCUUCUACCAAACGUAAGGCCGUUUCAUAGGCCUGUUGGUAGUACGUUUGGUAGACAUUUGGUAGGCUGAUUGGUAGGCUUUUGUUAGACAGUUUGGUAGGCGGUUUAGUAGAGGGGGAAUGAUGCCACCUCUUCUUCUUCUUCAUCUUCCUAUGUUUCUUCUUCAUUUAUUAUGUUUCUUCUUCUUCUUGCCAGCCAAGUAUAGGAGUGAAGCCACUGUUGCUUCUUCUUUUUCUUCUUCUUCUUUUUCUUCUACCAAAUGGAAGGCCGUAUUCUUCUUCUUCUUCUUCUUCUGGCCAGCCAAAUAUACUAGCGGGGCCACUGUUGCUUCUUCUUCUUCUUCUUCUUCUUUUUCUUCUACCAAAUGGAAGGCCGUAUUGGGGGCCACUGCUUCCUCUUCUUAAUUUUCUUCUUUUGCCAAACGGAAGUGUCACGUCCUGGCCAGUAUAAGGUUAAUUGGUAUUGUAGUUUGGUCAGGACGUGGCAGAGGGUAUUCGUUUUAUGUGGUUCGGAGUGGUGUGUUUUGUUGAAGGGGCAUUUGGUUUAAGUUUUCCGGGGUUUUUGGGCACUGUUUGGUUUUCAGGUAUUCUAUGUUUAGUCUAGUAUGUCUGGUUCUAUGUUUGGUUAAUUGGUAUUGUAGUUUGGUCAGGACGUGGCAGAGGGUAUUCGUUUUAUGUGGUUCGGAGUGGUGUGUUUUGUUGAAGGGGCAUUUGGUUUAAGUUUUCCGGGGUUUUUGGGCACUGUUUGGUUUUCAGGUAUUCUAUGUUUAGUCUAGUAUGUCUGGUUCUAUGUUUGGUUAAUUGGGGUUGGGACUCUCAGUUGAAGGCAGGUGUUGUCUAUCUGCCUUUGAUUGAGAGUCCCAUAUAUGAGGGUGUGUUUGUGUUUGUUAUUUGUGGGUGAUUAUUCUGUGUUUAGCCUUGUGCCUUACCAGACUGUUUUUGUUGAUCAUUCGUUCUUUGUUAUUUUGGUGUUCAUUUUGUAUUUAUUAAAAAGCAAGAUGAGCAUACACAUACCUGCUGCGUUUUGGUCCUCCAUUUCCAACGACAAACGUGACAGGAAGACCAUUUUGGAAGGCCUUUGGUAGUCCGUUUAGUAGAGGUGGGAUGUUGCCUCCUUCUUGUUCUUCUUCUUGCCAGCCAAAUAUACUAGCGGGGGCCACUGUUGCUUCUUCUUCUUCUUCUUCUUCGUUCUUCUUUUUGCCAGCCAAAUAUACUAGCGGGGGCCACUGUUGCUUCUUCUUCUUCUUCUUCUUGCCAGCCAAAUAUACUACUGUGGCCACUGUUGCUGCUUCUUCUUCUUCUUCUUCUUCUUCUUCUUCUUCUUCUUCUUCUUCUUCUUCUUCUUCUUCUUCUUCUUCUUUUUUUUUUUCUUUUCUUCUUUUCUCUUCUUCUUCUUCUUCUUCUUCUUCUUCUUCUUCUUCUUCUUCUUGCCAGCCAAAUAUACUAGUGGGGGCCACUGUUGCUUCUUCUUCUUGCCAGCCAAAUAUACUACUGUGGCCACUGUUGCUUCUUCUUCUUCUUCUUCUUCUUGCCAGCCAAAUAUACUACCGUGGCCACUGUUGCUUCUUCUUCUUCUUCUUCUUCUUCUGCCAGCCAAAUAUACUAGCGGGGCCACUGCUGCUUUUGUUAGACAGUUUGGUAGGUGGUUUAGUAGAGGGUGAAUGAUGCCACUUCUUCUUCUUCAUCUUACUAUGUUUCUUCUUCAUUGAUUAUGUUUCUUCUUCUUCUUCUUGCCAGCCAAGUGGAGGAGUGGGGACACUGAUCCUUCUUCUUUUUCUUCUUCUUCUUGCCAGUCAAGUAGAGGAGUGGGGCCACUGCUCCUUCUUCAUCUUCUUCUUCUUCUGUUUCUUCUUUUAUCAUUUUUAAUCUUAUAACAAACGGAAGGAUGUUUGGUAGGCCUUUUGGUAGACAGUUUGGUAGGCCUUUGGUAUACUGUUUAGUAGAGGUGGGAUGUUGCCACCCCUUCUUCUUCUUCUUCUUCCUCUUCUUCUUCUUCUUCUUCUUCUUCUUCUUCUUCUUGCCAACCAAAUAUACUAGUGGGGCCACUGUUGCUUCUUCUUUUUAAAUAAUUUUUCUUCUUCUUCUUCUUCUUUGUCUUCUGCUAUUUAUUCUUCUUUUAUAAUUGCUCUUAUUAUUCUUAUUAUUUUUCUUCUUCUUCUACCAAAUGGAAGGCCGUAUUCUUCUUCUUCUUCUGUUCUUUCAUCUUUUAUAAUCUUCUCCUUCUUCUUCUACCAAACGUAAUGCCGUUUGGUAGGCCGUUUCAUAGACCUCUUCGUAGUGCGUUUGGUAGACAUUUGGUAGGCUGUUUGGUAGGCUUUUGGUCGACAGUUUGGUUGGCCUUUGGUAGGCUGAUUAGUAGAGGUGGAAUGAUGCCACCCCUUCUUUGUCUUCUUCUUCAUCUUCUUCUGUUUCUUCUUUUAUAAUUCAGUGGUGAAAUGGGGCCACGUCUUCUGAACAGCUCUAUUGACAUGUCUGGAGGUGUGUGGCCUGGUAAUACUAAGUGGGACAUGCCAGCUAAGAAUACAGGUCAAAACAGCUAUGCGGGCCAGUGCACAGCCAUUGGAUUGCCCGGGGUAACAGCUGAGUAGAUCGCUUUGCUAGGCCUUUUGUACACCGUUUGGUAAGACCUUUGGUAGACCAUUUGGUGGGUCGUUUGGUAGGCUUUUGGUAGACAGUUUAGUAGGCCUUUGAUAGGCCAAUUAGUAGACGGGGAAUAAAGUCACCCCUUCAUUUUCUUAUGUUUCUAGUUCUUCUCCUUUUUCUUCUUCAUUGUCUUCUGUUUCUUCUUCUUCUUCUUGCCAGCCAAGUGGAGAAUUGGGGCCACUGCUCCUUCUUCGUCUUCUUCUUCUUUUGUUUCUUCUUCUUUCAUAAUUUUUCUGAACGGGUAGGUCACUUGCGAUACCUCUCCAACUCGUUUUAGUGGAGGUCUGCUUGGGUGAGUGUAUAGGUUUUGAUAAUACUUUGACCCAGGGUGGCAACGUCUUAUUAAAGAGUAAAAUCCUAUAGGUACCGCUCCGACUUGAUUUAGCGGAGGUCUGAACGGGUAGGUCACUUGUGAAACAACUCCAACUUGUUUUGGUGGAGGUCGGCAUGGGUUAGUAUACAGCUUUUGAUAAUACAUUGACCCAGGGUGGCAACGUCUUUUCAAAAUAGUAAAAUCCUAUGGGUACCGCUCCGACUUGAUGUAGCGGAGAUCUGUAAGGGUAGGACACUUGUGAAACAACUCCAACUUCUUUUGGUGGAGGUCGGCAUGGGUUAGUAUACAGCUUUUGAUAAUACGUUGACCCAGAGUGGCUACGUCUUUUCAAAAUAGUAAAAUCCUAUGGGUACUGCUCCGACUUGAUUUAGCGGAGGUCUGAACGGUGAGGUUUUUGUGAAACCACUCCAACUGGUUUAGUGGAGGUCUGCUUGGGUGAGUGUAUAGCUUUUGAUAAUACUUUGACCCAGGGUUGCAACAUAUUAUCAAAAUAGUAAAAUCCUUUGGGUACCGCUCCGACUUGAUUUAGCGGAGGUCUGAACGGGUAGGUCACUUGCGAUUCCUCUCCAACUCGUUUUGGUGGAGGUCUGCUUGGGUGAGUGUAUAGCUUUUGAUAAUACUUUGACCCAGGGUGGCAACAUAUUUUCAAAAUAGUAAAAUUCUAUGGGUACCGCUCCAAUUUGAUUUAGCGGAGAUUUGAACGGGUAGGUCACUUGUGAAACAACUCCAACUUGUUUUGGUGGAGGUCGUUAUGGGUUAGUAUUCAGCUUUUGAUAAUACUUUGACCCAGGGUGGCAACGUCUUUUCAAAAUAGUAAAAUCCUAUGGGUACCGCUCCGACUUGAUUUAGCGGAGGUCUGAACCGGUAGGUCACUUGCAAUUCCUCUCCAACUCGUUUUGGUGGAGGUCUGCUUGCGUGAGUGUAUAGCUUUUGAUAAUACUUUGACCCAGGGUGGCAACAUAUUAUCAAAAUAGUAAAAUCCUAUGGGUACCGAUCCGAUUUGAUUUAGGGGAGGUCUGAACUGGUAUGUCACUUGUGAAACAACUCCAACUUGUUUUGGUGGAGGUCGGCAUGGGUUAGUGUAUAGCUUUUGAUAAUACGUUGACCCAGGGUGGCAACAUAUUAUCAAAAUAGUAAAAUCCUAUGGGUUCCGCUCCGACUUGUUUUAGUUGAGGUCUGCCUGUGUGAGUGUGUAGCCUAACGCUUUGACCCGAUUAAGCAAUGGACAGACAGCAGUGACCCCUUAUGUUUCUUCUUCUUCUUCUCCCUUUUCUGUUUAUUCUUCUUUUAUAAUUUUUCUUAUUUUUCUUCUUAUUCUUCUUCUUCCUCUUUUUCUUCUUCUUGCCAGCCAAGUAUAGGAGUUGCUACACGGUUCCCUCUUAUUCUUCUUCUUCUUCUUCUUUUUCUUCUACCAAAUGGAAGGCAGAAUAAUUCUUCUUCUUUUUUCUUGUUCUUCUUCUUCUUAUUCGUCUUCUUUUUAAAAUAAUUUUCUUCUCCUCCUUCUUCUUCUACCAAACGUAAGGCCAUUUGGUAAGAUGUUUCUUAGGGCUCUUGGAAUGAUGCCACCCCUUCUUUUUCUUCUUUUUCUUCUUCUUAAACGUAUUUGUCUAAGAGAGUCCAAUUUCUAAGAGAGUCCAAUGCUCGCUGCAUCCAGAAAAGGUCUCCUUGGGCAUGUCACUAUUGAAUAAGCCCUGGAUGAAUACUACAAGAGGUGAUUUUUCUACAACAAUUUUGGUGCCGUGACCCGGAUGGAAGGGAGACUGGCCGUCCUGGCCGGAACCUAGACAUCUCUUCAGUAUACCACAAAUAGUGGUAAAGGGACCUUUUAAAAGAUACUGUUGUUCGGUCAGGUGGGGUGGCUUAGGCUCUUCUCCUCUCCAUCCAUCUAUUGGAGUAAAAUUCUCGAGACUGUU